CAGCGCCGCGGGAAUACGGAGGGUGCAAGCGUUAAUCGGAAUUACUGGGCGUAAAGCGCACGCAGGCGGUCUGACAAGUCAGAUGUGAAAUCCCCGGGCUUAACCUGGGAACUGCAUUUGAAACUGUCAGGCUGGAGUCUUGUAGAGGGGGGUAGAAUUCCAGGUGUAGCGGUGAAAUGCGUAGAGAUCUGGAGGAAUACCGGUGGCGAAGGCGGCCCCCUGGACAAAGACUGACGCUCAGGUGCGAAAGCGUGGGGAGCAAACAGGAUUAGAUACCCGAGUAGUCCCUGUCUCUUAUACA
rnacentral:rRNA from 1 species